rnacentral:rRNA from 1 species
GUCGAUCCCUGCACAGCAGCAUGACCCGUGAACAUGUAAAAAUCUCUGGCCACGCGGGGGUCAAAGACAUAUGUUUUCGAGCCACGUUUGGCCUAGUUGGCGUGCGUUCAAGAUUGCUUCUAUGGGGCAUCAUGGAUGUCAUGUCGACACACUAACAACCCCCGGCACGGCAUGUGCCAAGGAAAAGUAAACUUAAAGGGCCCGUCUCAUUACGCCCCGUUUACGGUGUGCGCACUGGGCGUGGCUUCUUUUGUAAACUUAAAACGACUCUCGGCAACGGAUAUCUCGGCUCACGCAUCGAUGAAGAACGUAGCAAAAUGCGAUACUUGGUGUGAAUUGCAGAAUCCCGUGAACCAUCGAGUUUUUGAACGCAAGUUGCGCCCGAAGCCAUCCGGUUGAGGGCACGUCUGCCUGGGCGUCACGCAUCACGUCGGCCCACCAAACUUCCCAUCAAGGGAUCUUGGUUGGGGCGGAGAUUGGUCUCCCGUGCCCAUCGCAUGGUUGGCCUAAAUAGAAGUCUCCUCUCGAGGGAAGCACGGCUAGUGGUGGUUGAUAACACAGUCGUCUCGUGUUGUGCGUUUACUUUCGUGAGUGAUGCUACUUGUAAAACCUACUUGUUGUCCUUUGACGACGCUUCGAUCGCGACCCCAGGUCAGGCGGGACU